rnacentral:rRNA from 1 species
AGCGGCGGACGGGUGAGUAACACGUGGGUAACCUACCUAUAAGACUGGGACAACUUCGGGAAACCGGAGCUAAUACCGGAUAAUAUGUUGAACCGCAUGGUUCAAUAGUGAAAGAUGGUUUUGCUAUCACUUAUAGAUGGACCCGCGCCGUAUUAGCUAGUUGGUGAGGUAACGGCUCACCAAGGCAACGAUACGUAGCCGACCUGAGAGGGUGAUCGGCCACACUGGAACUGAGACACGGUCCAGACUCC